rnacentral:rRNA from 1 species
CUCCCUACGGGAGGCAGCAGUGGGGAAUAUUGGACAAUGGGGGAAACCCUUAUCCAGCGACACCGCGUGAGGGAAGAAGGGUUUCGGAUUGUAAACCUCUGUCAGUGGGGACAAUAAUGACGGUACCCACGGAGGAAGCCACGGCUAACUACGUGCCAGCAGCCGCGGUAAUAGGUAGGUGGCAAGCGUUGUCCGGAAUUACUGGGGGGAAAGGGAGCGUAGGCGGGAUGUCAAGUCAGAAGUGAGAAUUAUGGGCUCAACUCAUAACCUGCUUUUGAAAC